UGAAUACGAGACGCUACGGCGUCGAAGCAGUCUAUGUCAUACUUCCAAGAAAAGCUUGCACUGUCAUAAACAAAUAAUGCCUGUACCAUAACCGACACAGGUGGGUAGGUAGAGUAUACUAAGGGGCGCGAGAUAACUCUCUCUAAGGAACUCGGCAAAAUGACUCCGUAACUUCGGGAGAAGGAGUGCCUUAUUUAUAAGGUUGCAAUAACAAGAUCCAAGCAACUGUUUAUCAAAAACACAGGUCUCCGCUAAGUCGUAAGACGAUGUAUGGGGGCUGACGCCUGCCCAGUGCCAGAAGGUUAAAGAAGUUGGUUAGCAUUAGCGAAGCUGAUAACUGAAGCCCUGGUGAACGGCGGCCGUAACAAUAACGGUCCUAAGGUAGCGAAAUUCCUUGUCGGGUAAGUUCCGACCCGCACGAAAGGCGUAAUGAUUUGGAUACUGUCUCGGAGAGGGGCUCGGUGAAAUAGACUUGUCUGUGAAGAUGCGGACUACCUGCACCAGGACAGAAAGACCCUAUGAAGCUUUACUGUAACCUGAAAUUGAAAUUGGACUUUAUUUGCGCAGUAUAGGUGGGAGGCAUUGAGAAUAUUCUUGCGGGAAUGUUGGAGCCAUCAGUGAGAUACCACUCUUGUAAUGUUAGAUUUCUAACUUUGUAUCAUUAUCUGGUCAAAGGACAGUUUCAGGCGGGCAGUUUGACUGGGGCGGUCGCCUCCUAAAUGGUAACGGAGGCGCACAAAGGUUUCCUCUGAACGGGUAGAAAUCGUAUCUAGAGUGUAAAGGCAUAAGGAAGCUUGACUGUGAGCCCUACAAGUCGAGCAGGGACGAAAGUCGGUCUUAGUGAUCUGACGGUGCUGAGUGGAAAGGCCGUCACUCAACGGAUAAAAGUUACUCUAGGAUAACAGGCUGAUCUCCCCCAAGAGUUCACAUCGACGGGGAGGUUUGGCACCUCGAUGUCGGCUCAUCGCAUCCUGGGGCGGUAGUACGUCCCAAGGGUUGGGCUGUUCGCCCAUGAAAGCGGUACGCGAGCUGGGUUCAGAACGUCGUGAGACAGUUCGGUCCAUAUCCGGUGUAGGCGUUAGAAUAUUGAGAGGAGCCUUCUUUAGUACGAGAGGACCGAGAAGGACAUACCUCUGGUGUACCAGUUAUCGUGCCAACGGUAAACGCUGGGUAGCUAUGUAUGGAGAGGAUAACCGCUGAAAGCAUCUAAGUGGGAAGCCCACCUCAAGAUAAG
rnacentral:rRNA from 1 species